rnacentral:rRNA from 1 species
UUGAACGCUGGCGGCAUGCUUUACACAUGCAAGUCGAACGGCAGCGCGGGCUUCGGCCUGGCGGCGAGUGGCGAACGGGUGCGUAAUGCAUCGGAACGUGCCCAGUAGUGGGGGAUAGCCCGGCGAAAGCCGGAUUAAUACCGCAUACGACCUGAGGGUGAAAGCGGGGGACCGAAAGGCCUCGCGCUAUUGGAGCGGCCGAUGUCGGAUUAGCUAGUUGGUGGGGUAAAGGCUUACCAAGGCGACGAUCCGUAGCUGGUCUGAGAGGACGACCAGCCACACUGGGACUGAGACACGGCCCAGACUCCUACGGGAGGCAGCAGUGGGGAAUUUUGGACAAUGGGGGCAACCCUGAUCCAGCCAUGCCGCGUGCGGGAAGAAGGCCUUCGGGUUGUAAACCGCUUUUGUUCGGGAAGAAAUCCUCUGGGCUAAUACCCCGGGGGGAUGACGGUACCGGAAGAAUAAGCACCGGCUAACUACGUG